UAUUUUGACUAUACAAAGGUAUUGAAAUAAGAUUUUAAUUGAAUGCUAAGAGAAUGGAUUGACAAAAAAAUUCUUUUUUGAUUUUAAAAAUUGAAGUUAAUUUUUUUUGUGAAGAAGCAAAAAUAAAAAUUAAGGACAAGAAGACCCUAAGAAUUUUAAACUAUUAAUUUUAGUACUAAAUUUUUUUAGUUUUAAUUGGGGCGAUUAAUUAAAAUUUUAAACUUUAUUUGAAAAUAAAAUGAACCGUUACUAACGGUAAUAUGAUAAAAAUACUCUAGGGAUAACAGCGUAAUAAUUUUUGAUAGUUCAUAUAGACAAAAUAGUUUGCGACCUCGAUGUUGGAUUAGGAUUCUUAUUUAAUGAAGAAGUUAAAUUAAGAAGUUUGUUCAACUUUUAAAAUCC
rnacentral:rRNA from 1 species